rnacentral:ribozyme from 12 species
GAAUGAAAAAAGAAAAAGACUUUGUACUCGAGGUGGUGUUAUCGGUGAAUAUGUGUCCAUGAGUUUUGUUUGCUUUACAGGUUCUCUUUUUUGUUUUUUAUUUGUCUCGCCAUUUUCUUCUUCUCCAU